CCCAGACUCCUACGGGAGGCAGCAGUGAGGAAUAUUGGUCAAUGGACGAGAGUCUGAACCAGCCAAGUAGCGUGAAGGAUGACUGCCCUAUGGGUUGUAAACUUCUUUUAUAUGGGAAUAAAACAGGGUAUGGAUACCCUCUUGUAUGUACCAUAUGAAUAAGGAUCGGCUAACUCCGUGCCAGCAGCCGCGGUAAUACGGAGGAUCCGAGCGUUAUCCGGAUUUAUUGGGUUUAAAGGGUGCGUAGGCGGACGCUUAAGUCAGCGGUAAAAUUGCGGGGCUCGACCCCGUACUGCCGUUGAAACUGCAUCCCUUGAGUGCGCGAGAAGUAUGCGGAAUGCGUGGUGUAGCGGUGAAAUGCAUAGAUAUCACGCAGAACUCCGAUUGCGAAGGCAGCAUACCGGCGCGCAACUGACGCUCAUGCACGAAAGCGUGGGUAUCGAACAGGAUUAGAUACCCGUGUAC
rnacentral:rRNA from 1 species